ACUGGGUGUGGUGGUCCAUGCCUGUAGUCUCAGCUACUUGGAGGCAUGAGGUCAGAGGAUCACUUGAGCCUAGGAGUUUUGAGUCCAGCCUGUGUAACAGGUAAGACACAGUCUACCAAACAAAACAGAACCCUA
rnacentral:sRNA from 1 species